CUCUGGGUGAAUUCAGGAGGAGAGAUUUAAGCUGAUAAUCCUAUGUACACUUUCGGGAGGAAACGGCCUCACUGAUCUCAGUGGGGCUUGCAUCUGAAUCAACACAUUUAGGAAUGCACUGAAGGCAUCUGUGGCCAAAAGAAUUGUUCUCUUAAGCAAAAGGCCUUUGGAACAAAGUAUAAACCCUGCUUGUAAUGUAGAACUCUGGGCCAGGUGCUUAAAAAGCAGAUCACAGUCUUAAUCAGGAAUCCAACAUAAAUUCCUGAAACCUUCUGAUGUAUUACUCAGGACAGAAAUCAAGGUAUCACCCCCACAGGCCAUUGCCUUCACAAGCAACUGGCAUUCGUAACUUUCAACAUAUUACAACAUCAACGACAAGAAGAUACCUAAUGAUCUGGGAAGUUUUGAGGGUCAAGAGCUUGGUUUACCACCAGCUCUUCUGCAGGUGUGUGCAGAGAGGCAUGCUUGAUUUGUGUUUUCAAUAGCACGAAACUUGGGAGAGUGGCCAUUGACUAAUGGAGAAGAAUGGACAUUUCCCACGUCUUACCUAUAUCAUGCAAGAAAAAGAGAGAAAAGAAAAGAAAAAGAAAAACUGUAAAAAUUGCAUCCCAGUUUCGAUAUAAAAGAAAACAUGCCAACUUUCAUAAAGAAUUUUGAGUACAGGAUCUGGGCUUUGUUUUCAUGGGAAUAUUUGAAUACUGAAACUGGUGGAUAUCUGUGUUUAGUUUUAGAAGAGUACUAGAAGAAUCAAGCAACGGACUAAGCUAUACAAAACCCUUUGCCCACCCGAUUUUCACUGUUCUCCUUGGAAAGUUCGAUAUUUGCACCCUGGCUCCUGCAACAUCUUAUUCUACAGCCUUCUUGCAAAGAUUCUCAUCCAAUUCUACGACUGCUAUAGUCAAGGCUGCUCACCCUUCUCUUUUUAAAUUAUGAUAGGCCGAGUGCUCUUUGGAGUCAUGUUUGGCGGCCCUAUUAAAUUGCCUUCUUUGACAUGGAGGGAUGCAUAGGGCCACCCUUAUGGUAUAAUCCAUACCCAACUCUUGAUUUGUGAAAUCAAAGCUAAUUGGGUGCUUGCAAAAUUCAUUGUGUGCAAAGGGUUCUUGUAUACAGAUUUUUCAAUAUACUUUAAAUGUAUUUAUGUGUCAUCCUUCAAUAAAAAUGCGCAGGAUGAUAUAGAAUAAACUGUU
rnacentral:lncRNA from 1 species